rnacentral:rRNA from 1 species
AUUGAACGCUGGCGGCAUGCUUUACACAUGCAAGUCGAACGGUAACAGGCCGCAAGGUGCUGACGAGUGGCGAACGGGUGAGUAAUGCAUCGGAACGUGCCCAGUCGUGGGGGAUAACUACUCGAAAGAGUAGCUAAUACCGCAUACGAUCUAUGGAUGAGAGCGGGGGACCGUAAGGCAUCGCGCGAUUGGAGCGGCCGAUGUCAGAUUAGGUAGUUGGUGGGGUAAAGGCUCACCAAGCCAACGAUCUGUAGCUGGUCUGAGAGGACGACCAGCCACACUGGGACUGAGACACGGCCCAGACUCCUACGGGAGGCAGCAGUGGGGAAUUUUGGACAAUGGGCGCAAGCCUGAUCCAGCAAUGCCGCGUGCAGGAAGAAGGCCUUCGGGUUGUAAACUGCUUUUGUACGGAACGAAACGGCUCUGGUUAAUACCCGGGGCUAAUGACGGUACCGUAAGAAUAAGCACCGGCUAACUACGUG